rnacentral:rRNA from 1 species
CAGCAGCCGCCACGGUAAUACGGAGGGUGCAAGCGUUAUCCGGAUUUAUUGGGUUUAAAGGGUCCGUAGGCGGAUCUGUAAGUCAGUGGUGAAAUCUCACAGCUUAACUGUGAAACUGCCAUUGAUACUGCAGGUCUUGAGUAAAUUUGAAGUGGCUGGAAUAAGUAGUGUAGCGGUGAAAUGCAUAGAUAUUACUUAGAACACCAAUUGCGAAGGCAGGUCACUAAGAUUUAACUGACGCUGAUGGACGAAAGCGUGGGGAGCGAACAGGAUUAGAUACCCGAGUAGUCCCUGUCUCUUAUAC